rnacentral:lncRNA from 1 species
UCUUUUACUAUUUCUAUUUGAUCAUUGCAUUCAUUAGUCGAGCCUUGCAUUGUUAAAUUGUUUAUUUGCUUUGAUCAUUAGACCUCUAUCAUUGUAAUCUUAUAUAUUUUUAGACUAAGUGUUGUCUAAAGGGAAUUUAAUCCAGGUGGAUUAAGGUUUGUUUACAAACAAGUUCAAGGAAGCUUAGAAGCUUAAGGGGUGCAUUGGUGCAUAAGGAGCAAGUGUGCUCAAGUGAAUUAUUGUUAUUCAAUUUGAUUGAAUCUGUUUUGUAACAAAGGUCAUUUUUAAAGAAAUAAAAGUGAGUCUCCAAUACUAGUUGGUAUUGGACGUGGAGUAGGUUAUUAUAUAGAGGGUAAUAACUGAACUACGUAAAAAAUCUUGGUGUUAUUUACUAUUACUUGCUAUAUCUUUAUAUCUUACAAGUUAAUCGAUUUCAAUUAUUUGUUUUCACAAAAUAUUUUAUUUAGCUUACAAAAACACCAAGAUAUUUUCUUAAACAAAAAUUUAAUUUGGUAGACCAUAUUCAUUCAGCAAGCUGUAUUCACAAAUAUAGUUGACUACAUUCCAAAAUUCGUUUUAAAGAUUUUAAUUGGUCAUAGUUUGUAUCCACACUUAUUCAACCCCCCUUCUAAGUGUGCCUUAUCUGAAUUUCAUUUGGUAUCAAAGCUUGGCUCUACUUACUUGGUCUUAAAGGUGACUUGUAGGGAAAGAUUCUGACAUGGCAUAGUUUGGAAACAACAAUCAAGAAGGUCAAUCAACCAAUAGACCUCCACUGCUGUAUGGAACAAAAAACUACAACUUCUGGAAAUUCCGAAUGAGGAUCUACCUUAAAAGAGAUCCUUGGGAAUGGUGGGUUGUGGAGAAUGGACAAGUUAUUCCAAGGAAUGAUGACGGUACACCAAAGACCUUGCUAGAAAUGGAUUCAACUGAAACCUUCAUGGUAUCCUAUGACUCAAGGGCAAUGAACACUCUACUAAGCGGCAUGGUGCAGUCCGAGAUUGACAAAGUAUCUUCAUGCAACACAGCUAAGGAAAUCUGGGAUACUCUUGUGGUGAGUCAUGAAGGAACUUCAAAAGUUCGAGAAGUUAAACUAAGCAUGCUUAUGCAUGACUAUGAGAUGUUCAAACUUGAGAAAGAUGAAACUAUAAAGAUGGCCCAAACAAGGUUCCUUGUUCUUCUAAACUCCUUAAAGCUGCUGGACAAAUCUAUUCCACAAAGUGAGAUUAAUAGUAAGUUACUUCGGGCUAUGCCCAAGAGGUUUGCAUUUAAGAUUACUACUCUUCAAGAUUCCUCUACUAUAUCUACUAUGGAUACACUAACCCUUUUUGGUGAACUUGAGGAAUAUGAACAUCAGUUAAAGAGGUAUGAUGAUGAGGACGAAACUCCUCGAAGAAAGGUUUUAGCUCUUAAUGCAGGAAAUGAAGAAGAGCUUGAUGAUGAUUCUGAUGAAGAGAUAGCCUUGAUGAUAAUGAGACUCAAAGGACUUCUUCAAAGAAAGAAUAAACGAAAGAAUAUCUUCAACUCAAAUAAAGGCAAAGGAAAAAAAAUGAGGAGACGUGUUUUGAAUGUGGACGUCCAGGGCACUUCAAGAAGGACUGUUUUCAACUAAAAAACAAAGAAAAAACAAGCUUCAAGGAUAAUAAGAGAAACAAGGCACUAGUCACUUGGAGUGAUGAAGAAGAAUCUGAAGUUAAGGUCGACGCCAAGGAUGAGAUAGCUCAAGUAUGCUUCAUGGGAAUAGAAGGUGAAUCAAAUGAGGUAUCUAUGUUUGAAACUAUUUCUUUGAAACAAGAAAAUGAGAAAUUAAAAGAAAAGAAUGCACAUUUAAAAGACUUAGUUAACACAUUAAUGGGUGAAGUAGAAUCCUUGAUAGAUGAAAAGAAAGGAGUAUGUGUUCCUUGCCAACUUGGAAAACAAGUAAGAACCUCAUUUAGUGCAAAGAAUAAGGUAUCAACCUCAUCUCCUUUACAAUUACUUCAUCUUGACUUGUUUGGUCCAGAAAGACAUGCUAGUAUUAAUGGUAAAUUUUAUGCAUUUGUGAUAGUUGAUGAUUUUUCUAGAUUUACUUGGGUACUAUUCUUAAAAACCAAAGAUAAAGCUUUUAAAGGGUUUGAAAAGUUAAUAAGAAAUUUAGAGACUAAAUAUGGUUUCAAGCUCAUAAAAAUUUGAAGUGAUCAUGGUACUGAAUUUCAAAAGGACUUUGUUAUAUUUUGUGAUCAAAAAGGUAUAAGUCAUGAGCUUUCAGCUCCUAGAACUCCUCGGCAAAAUGGAGUAGUAGAAAGAAAGAACAGAACACUUCAAGAAACAACUAGAACACUUUUACAAGAAAGCAAACUUCCGAAGAAAUUUUGGGCUGAAGCUGUUAAUACUUCAUGUUAUGUGUUAAAUCGUGUUCUUAUUCGUCCUAUUAUUUUGAAAACUCCUUAUGAGCUAUUGAAUAACAAAAUCCCUAAUAUAAGUUAUUUCAAAGUAUUCGGGUCUAAAUGUUAUAUACUAAAUACUAGUGAUAACUUGGGUAAAUUUGAUGCCAAAUCCUAUGAAGGUAUUUUCAUUGGUUAUUCUCAUAACAGCAAAGCAUAUCGUGUUUUUAAUAUUUACAAAUUAUGUGUUGAAGAAUCAAUUCAUAUAACUUUCAAUGACUAAAAAUGAUCUUCCAAAAGAAAGAGAAGAGGAUGCAGGAAAUUUGGAAACUUUUACAAAUUCAGUAAACCGAAGAGAACCAUUCAGCAAACCGAAUAGACAAAUUCAACAGGCUGGAUUGAACAGUUCACAUGAAAAUGAACAAGAAAUAACACAAAAUCUUGAAGAAAAUUUCUCACAACAGGAAGAGAUAAUACACAAUGUUCAAAUGCCAAAGACAGCAAAAUAUCUCAAGGAUCAUCCACCAGAAAACAUCAUUGGAGAUAUAAACAAAAGAGUUACUACACGAAGAAAUCUACAAAAUCAAUGCGCGUUCUCUGCAUUUUUAUCACAAGUAGAACCAAAGAAUGCGAAAGAAGCUAUACGUGAUGAAAAUUGGCUUAUGGCAAUGCAAGAGGAACUUCAACAAUUUGAACGGUGUCAAGUUUGUGAAUUAAUGCCUCCUCCUAAGGAUAGUUCCAUUAUUGGAACAAAAUGGGUGUUCAAAAACAAGCUUGAUGAGCAUGGGACAAUUACUCGAAACAAAUCAAGCCUCCUGGAUUCGAACAUGAGAAAUAUCCCAAUCAUGUUUUUAAGCUGAAGAAAGCUCUCUAUGGUCUCAAACAAGCUCCAAGGGCUUGGUACGAAAGGUUGAGUAAGUAUCUUAUUUCAAGUGGUUUUACUAGAGGUAAAAUAGAUUCUACAUUAUUUAUUAAACAUGAAAAACAAGAAAUAAUUAUUGUUCAAAUAUAUGUAGAUGAUAUAAUAUUUGGUGCUACUAAUGAUUUUCUUUGUGAGUGGUUUUCAAAGUGUAUGCAUAAGGAAUUUGAUAUGAGCUUAAUGGGAGAGCUAAAUUACUUUUUGGGACUUCAAAUCAAGUAAACAAGAGAAGGGAUAUAUAUUCAUCAAACCAAGUACACAAAAGAGCUUCUUAAGAGAUUUGGUUUUGAAGGAACAAAUCCAAAGGCUACACCAAUGAGCACGUCAAUAAAGCUCACAUCAGAUGAUAAAGGUAUAGAUGUAGAGGUAACUAAAUAUCGAGGUAUGAUUGGUUCUUUAUUAUAUUUAACUGCAUCUAGACCUGAUAUAAUGUACAGUGUAUGCCUUUGUGCUCGAUUUCAAUCUAAACCCAAAGAAUCCCACUUGCAAGCAGUUAAAAGAAUUUUUAAAUAUUUAAGUGGUACUUUAAAUUUAGGAUUAUUUUACCCUAUAUAUAAUCAUUUUGAUCUAAUGGGUUAUUCAGAUGGUGACUAUGCAGGAUUUCAAAUUGAUAGAAAUACCACAAGUGGUGCGUGUACAUUUUUGGGACAUAGUCUUGUUUCGUGGCAUAGUAAAAAGCAAACUUCAGUUGCUUUAUCAACUACUGAGGGUGAAUAUUUAGCUGCAGGAAGUUGUUGCUCUCAAAUAUUAUGGAUGAGACAAACAUUAUGUGAUUUUGAUAUUAUCUGCAAUAAUGUGCCUAUAUAUUGUGAUAAUUCUAGUGCUAUUGACAUAUCAAAGAAUCCUGUUUUGCAUUCACGUACAAAACAUAUAGAGGUCAGACAUCAUUUUUAAGGGAUAAUGUUUCAAAAGGGUUAGUCAAAUUGGUUUUUAUUCCUACCAAAAAAUAAUUAGCUGAUAUUUUUACUAAACCUUUGAGCGAGGAAAGAUUUUGUAUGUUAAGGAGAGAACUUGGAAUGUGCAUGGUAUAAUUAUGAUUUACGUACUUAAAAGUAUAUUUCAUGCAAAUAUAUUUGUUAGACAUUCCUUAUCUGGAUAGAUACACAGUUUUAUUAGAAAUCAUAAUUAUCGCCGGAUAUCAAUUAAGAAGGAAACGUAAGGACUUCCACCUUGGAACUCGGAACCACAACCGAACAGACUCUUUUUGAAACUUGAAAAGACACACGCUUUUCGGUGAUGGACUCUUGAAUAGUUUUUAUUUUAUAUCUUCAGACUUCAUCAUUAGUUAGAUCUUGCGUCUUCACCAUUUUCUUUGUUUCACUCACAACAUUUAUCACACCAUGAAAACCAGAGUAAAUAAGCAAUCUGCUGGAAAAUCAACCGAUGAAGGUGCCUCGUUGCCUAGAGUCACAAGAACAAAGAUGAAGUCCAAGCACGUACAGAAGAAAUCCUCUGUGCAAGUGUUGUCUGAUGCUACAACUCUGUCCGACGACUCAGAUUCUAGUUUUUCUUUCAUGAAAACCUCCGAAGUCGAUCUGUCUCCUCAAGGUAAAUCGAAGCAACCAGUAGAUGAAGAACAAUUUUUCUCACAGCCAGAAUCUCCUUCUACUCUGGUAAAUUUAUUUUCAUCUUCUUUUGAUUUACAAGAGAAUUUCUUUAGAGGUCCUAGUUUUGAAGCACGUUUUAAAAACUCCAUUGCUACAAAACAAUUUGUGUAUGAAAAAUCAUUGGAUCUCUUCUAUCUCAAACACUCUAUUUUGGAAAAACUUUUCACCGAGUGCAACAUUUUUUCUAUGCUGUUUCCUCCUACUGUUGCUUAUCCUCAGUUGGUCCAAUAAUUCUACACCAAUCUUGAGUGUAAUGGAGACUGUUUUACUACAUUUGUGAAGGGUAAAUCUUUAUUUUUCACAAGUAUAGAUUUUGGAAGUAUUCUGGGUGUUUCUUCUACUGGACCAUGUCCUUUCACUCUCAAAGGAGCGACCAAUAUUCCUUUUCCUCCUUUAGAACAACUUCAUAUAGUCAUGAAUGACUAUUCUCUUUCAUCUCUGUCUUUACCAAAAACUGUCAGUGUAUGUCCUAAUGCAUGUGUGUUGCAUAAGUUGGUUUGGUAUAAUCUGUUUCCACGCCUUGGUGGGGGUUCUGAUUUUACUUAUCAGGAUUUAGUUGUCGUAGCUAUGAUUCUCAAAGGAAAGGUUUUUAAUUUAUCUCAAAUGAUGUUAUCUCAUAUGCAAAGUUGCAUUCGUCAAAGCAAGAAAUGUCUUCCUUACGGUAAAUUGUUAACAAAACUUUUUCAACAUUUUAAGAUUUCUUUUGAUGAUGAAAUUUCUGUCACAAAUCAUGAGCUUAUUGACACUGCCAAUUUGACAAAAUCACAUAUCACUUUUCAUGCUGGUGAUUUCGUAAGUCUUCUGCCUGAUCCUCCUACUACUCCUCCUCUUGUUUCUCAUCCUCCUGAAUCAUCUUCUUCUUCAUUGCCCAAUUCCAAUGGAUCUGAUGUUAUGAAUGUCUUAACUGAAAUUUUGCAAAAUCAAACUUCUUUGAAAGACGAGUUGGUUGAAAUUAGAAAUUGACUUGUGUGUCUUGAGAAAGGGAAGUUACCUAUGGAUGCUCCCGAGAUCAAUAAACUAUAUCAUCGGGUGGAAGAUGAAUUUAUUUAUCUUCAAGCGGGUUUUGAGAUUCAGACGAUGGCUAUGGUAGAAGCACUCCAACGUAAAUUUAAUCGAAACACUUGUCAGUUAAGUCAAGAGGUGAAAUUUAUCAGUUAUCAACUCAGGGAGCUUGCAGAUUUUAUGGCCACCAGGUUCAAUGCUAUUGGUCAGAGGUUUCAUGUUCCAACAAUGUAUUCUCCCAUCCCCGAAUGGCCAAUGAACAAUUGGAUGUCUGAAUACAAGGGUGACUUUCUGGAUAUGGAGCUUCCUCCUGCGAUCUUUAUUCCUCGACCACCUCGACUGGCCAACGAUUACACUUUGGAAGAGCGUCUUCAUUGCCUUCAUCAUCGCCCAUACUUUACCACUCGUGCAGAACAGCGAGCUAAUCUCGCGGAGAUUGAUUAAGGUCUUCUUUUUUUGCAUGAUGCCAAAGGGGGAGAAUUUCUAAGAAUUUCAUGUUCUGUUUUUAGUUUGUUUUAAGACUAUGGUUUUUGAUAGGCAUGAUUGCCUGGAUGUUAAUUGCAUGGAUGUUAAGACUAUUUAUAAUGUUGUAUGCCUUAAACUGAUUUUGUUGCAGGCAUUUUAAGAAUUGAUGGUUUAGUAUGAUACUAACAUGCAGGUGUUAUAAAUUUCUCCUGAAAUGUGCAUGAAUUUAGGGGGAGUUUUAUUUAUAUAUGUUGCCAUCAUCAAAAAGGGGGAGAAUGUUGAUGAAUUCACGUUCUAGCCUAAAUGUUUUGAUGAUGAUUUACUCGUCAGUACUAAAUUGUGUAUUAUGGAUUUCAGGAAGUUGAUGAAAGAUCAUUGAUGAAAGACUUUGAAGAUUUGAGUCCUAAGAAAAAUAUGUAAGGUCAUUGCAAAUAUAUGAUUUUUCAAUUCAAGGCUCUAGGACAUAUCAUGUAUGCAUUAAAUUAUGAAUUAAUUUUUUGUGCAUAUUUUAUAUAUGUCAUUCACUGCUAUUUACUAACAAGGAAAAUCGUCAGCAUGCAUGCGUAGGAUUAGUGUCCGAAUGAUAUAUUAUGCAUGUGUAGGAUUAGUUGAAUAUAAUUUGCUUUCUAUUUAUUACGGAUUGGUUGUAUAUAUGGCAGUAGUGGAUUUUGAUUAGAAGUCUAAUAGCUGCAUGUUGGAAAUUGAUAGUUGCAUAUGGCGGUAGGACUUUAGUUGGCACAUACCUUGAAAGAAGGAAGUCAUGAUUAUCUUUAAGAAAUUGGAAUGUGUUAUGAUAAGUGACGGCACUUGAGUUACUGUUAUUGGCUGACUUAAUCUUUAUCAUAAAUCAUAAUUGUUACAGAUUUAGUCCUAGUUGACUUGGUCUCUAUUAUCUUUGAGAGAGUCCAAUAUUUUUUCCAAACAUUUAUUUGUUUCGUUUGGUUUCAACUGAAAAUCAUUGGAACGUUGCCUUUGUUUAACGUAAACUUUUCUUAUUAGCAACGGUAAAAUUUGUUUGGGCUAUAAAAAGCAGCUGAGAUCAGUGAUGAAAAAUACAACACACAACACUCGAUUUAAUAUCUUGCACUUAUAUACUUUGAAAGCUACUCUGUUUCCGGUGCAAAUUCUGAGCUGCUGAUUCAUUGAUAUAUUCAGUCAAUUUGCGUGGGCAUUAAAUUGGUGAUAUCUUUUACUAUUUCUAUUUGAUCAUUGCAUUCAUUAGUCGAGCCUUGCAUUGUUAAAUUGUUUAUUUGCUUUGAUCAUUAGACCUCUAUCAUUGUAAUCUUAUAUAUUUUUAGACUAAGUGUUGUCUAAAGGGAAUUUAAUCCAGGUGGAUUAAGGUUUGUUUACAAACAGGUUCAAGGAAGCUUAGAAGCUUAAGGGGUGCAUUGGUGCAUAAGGAGCAAGUGUGCUCAAGUGAAUUAUUGUUAUUCAAUUUGAUUGAAUCUGUUUUGUAACAAG